rnacentral:rRNA from 1 species
CCNGGAGAAUGGGCCGGAACCUGAUCCAGCCAUGCCGCGUGCGGGAAGAAGGCCUUCGGGUUGUAAACCGCUUUUGUCAGGGAAGAAAAGGUUCUGGCUAAUACCUGGGACUCAUGACGGUACCUGAAGAAUAAGCACCGGCUAACUACGUGCCAGCAGCCGCGGUAAUACGUAGGGUGCAAGCGUUAAUCGGAAUUACUGGGCGUAAAGCGUGCGCAGGCGGUUAUGCAAGACAGAGGUGAAAUCCCCGGGCUCAACCUGGGAACUGCCUUUGUGACUGCAUGGCUAGAGUACGGUAGAGGGGGAUGGAAUUCCGCGUGUAGCAGUGAAAUGCGUAGAUAUGCGGAGGAACACCGAUGGCGAAGGCAAUCCCCUGGACCUGUACUGACGCUCAUGCACGAAAGCGUGGGGAGCANACAGGAUUAGAUACCCUGGUAGUCCACGCCCUAAACGAUGUCAACUGGUUGUUGGGA